UCGCUGAUCAGCUGCUUAUAGUCGGUUGACUCGAACUCCGUCGUCUCGAUCCCAAGAAGAUCCUCCGGCGUCACACCCAACUCCUGUACGCUUCUUGAUAGCGUGUCCGCAACGACAUUCUCGGUCCCCAUUUUAAUCUGGAUGGUGAACGGAAAAGCCUGGAGUUCCAUUGACCAUCUGGCCAGUCUCCUAAACCUAAAGCUGUGGUAAGUGACUUCUUUAUUUGCUCCACAGCGUUGACGGCUACCUCACUUAACUGAAACUUCCCAUUAUUUUUCCUCGGAGCAUUUGUCAGUGGUACCGAGAUACCAAGAAGCUACGCAGUUUCUUGACCGUCAUUGGAGCAGGCAUGUUAUUGAUGGCCUCCACUCUGCUCGAAUCUAUGAUGAAACCUAAAUAAUUGAGGUUCCGAAAACAGAAUUUGGAUUUCGUUUCCUCCAGCUCAAUCUGUCAGAAGGCACACUUCAAAUCGACGCUUGAGAUGAAGUGCGUCUCAUCGAUUUACAAGAGAAUCCCUUGGAUGCAUGGAAUAGGAUACGCAUAUUUCAUCGAUUUUUGCAGGGCUUCAUGACGACCGUCGUUCUCCAUGAACUGUGGUUCUCUUUUAUGAUGGUUCGGUUCCCUCAAUUGGCUGUAUCCCCUGUUGUAACAAGUCCCACAUUUCCGGAUCAGAUACGACAACAUCCUCGCCCCGGUAAUAUUCCACUUCGACAGUUGUUACAUCAGUUGUCUCUCUGUGGUACAAGUCUCAAACAGAUUCGGAGCGAUGUCGAAAGCUCUCCAGAAGUCCAUGCCCAAAUAAACCACCUGUUUUAAGUCGGCGCACAUGAAGAAAACUAUCUGCUUCGAAUUGCCGCCAUAUGGUACUGACAGAUUGACUCGUCCCAGGAUCGGGCGACUGGCUCCUGCAGAAAUUGUGACCAUGGACGUGUACGGGGGCACAUUCCAAUUCAUCUUGCUAACAAGCUCUCGGCAUCCUCGUCCCAGCAGACUAACGGACGCGUCAGAGUCAAGAAGGCUUUUCAGAGCAUGUCCACCGAUGAUUAUAUCUGCAAAGAGUCGAGGAUCGGUGGUCUCCACACUUCGAACUCCUUCAUCGACUUAUCUCCUCGUUAGCCACCGCCGACGAAAACGAGCGCGUGCCUUUAUAACGCGUUUCGUGGCCAACGUCAUCUCUCCAAUCUGCCGCUCACCAAAAAUUCUAUUUCGGGCCGACAUGUAUUCCCGAACACGAUCUUAACACUAUGUAUUGUCCUCCAAUUGUUUUUGUUGGUAAGCCACUCCAGUUUCUGAUCGGGUCUUGCCUCCAAUGCGCCUGCCCCGGUCUCAUCGCGUUCGCCCAGGAGUUUCCCGGACAAUUGACGCAUUGCGGGCUAAACGUGUCGGGCUUGCCGCACCGAAAGCAAAAGAUGCUCCUCGUCCCGGACAUACAAUCCCGGAAACCGUGACCAGGUUGCCUGCAGUUCCAGCAGUUCCAACCGUCUCGCGGUUCUACGCAACCGUUUCCUCCACUUCCUUUGGUUGGACUCUUUUCGCGCAGAGGUGGGUUUUCAACCUCGUUAACUACUAGUUUGACUCCGUGCGGAUACCGAAUUCGUUGUCCCUGUGAUGAGCGCCCUCGACGACUCAUCUAUAGCCCCACUUCGAUACAUUCUUGGCGUAACUCGUCCACCGUGGGUAUUUCCAUGGCAUAUAUGUAUCUUGCCAAACUUUCCUUUAAUCCACUCUUUAUUAUUUUCACCAGCUCAAGGUCCCGGAGAUGUUUCUGGAAGCGCGAGGCUAGCCGCCGCAUGUUAUGAAUGUAGUUAUCGAUAUCUUCGCCAGACUGUUAUUUCUUCUGCAGUAGCUCCUGCAUGAUGUCAUGCUCAGUUUGGUAACCACGAAACCGGAUCAGCAUUGCUUGAUGCAAAUGGGUCCAGCUGGCCCAUUGGGACUGCUCCUGUGUUAGAUAUCGAUUUUUGCUGCGAAGAGGCGGGUCGACGCCCACUACUACCGUCCUUCUGCGGGCGGAUGAGCUCCUGCAUUAGCUUUAUCAUCUCCAUGAAGCCUGCGCUAAUCUCAUCGUGUAUCGGUGCCGCAAUCCCCUCCUGCAGUAAACUCCUUCAUCCUCGACUAUAGGACAGAAUCUGUCGACUCCGUUGGAUAGCUUUUCGGCCCUUAUCCGAUGCUUCAACCACAGAGCAUCGAGGAGGAGCAGUAGCAAGGCCUUCUUCUUAAAUUCUACGGUUGCCUCAUACUCCAGGAUAAGCAGCGAGCGUAAUGCUAAAUUGGUUACUGUUUCAGUUAUACAGUCGGGCUCCUCCUCGUUGGCUGCGUCGUCUGACGUUCGCUGUCCCACGUCGUUGGUGCUGCUCCGGCUGGUGGUGAGUGGCGUCUGUCGAUGCGACGGCUAUCGGCACUCGGGCCUUGCUCCAACGGUGAUAACUGCCCGUUGAGUGUCCCGCGCCAUUAUAUUUUUAAAUGUUGCCUUCGCAAUAUGAAGAAAGAGUACAAAAAUCGUCCAGCACGAUCUUCAGACCGACAUCGCUCGCGAUUCGACUCCUCAAUCAAAAAUUUAAUAUGCUAACCUCUAGUGAAAAAUUUUGACGCUCCUUUUUACUCUCCUUGCUACGUGAAGAGCAGCUCAAAAAAACCUCUAUUAUCGCCUUGCGAUACUCCAGAUAUCAAUAUCUCCCCAAUACCAAAAUAGGCAACACUGCUGGCACAAACGAUAAACAAAAACGUAACAGUUUUCCAAGCUCUAAUACAGAUAGUAUUUUCGUUAUGUUCUUACAAUUAUUUGUAAGGGUCCAGCGAUUCUGUGUGUUGCUCGUUUUCGCUAUUUUUUAUGCCCAUGUCUUCGAUAUUUAUAUCCUGUUUGGGCUAGGCUGCAUCAUUGAAAAUUUCCGUUUCGUGGAAUCUUCCGUCGCAUCAUCCACACGCGGUUAUGUCGCCAUCGAUAACACUCAUUUUUCGAUUUAAAAAAAUACCACUAUCAUAUGUUAUUCAAUUUGUAGUCACACUUUCCGAAUAAUUGAAGAUGCGACUCAUACUCUAUUUUGACCCGCGCAUUUGCUUUAAUUAUGCGACUCUGAGAUGCAUUUGUUUAUACCAAAGUCCCGUCUUUCGAAGAGCUUAUUAGGGGUACAUAACGAAACCAAAUCAAGCGGCAGCGCGCCAAUAUUGGUAUGCACGUAAAGUUUUUCUGCUGCGCGACCUGAAAACCUGCCCAAGGUUGGGUCUGGCCAAUAUAUUGUGGUGUGCGAGUUUCAAUAUAUUUAUAUUUUUAUACCCGCUACCCAUAUGAUGUAUCACACAGCCAGAAGGCUUCUCCGACCGUGUAAAGCAUACUUGAUCAGCGUCAAAAGCCGAGACAAUAUAGCCAUGCCCGAUCUCACCUAGAUCUCAGAGAAUAUAAGAGAUAGAGAUAUAUUGUAGGCAAAUCAAGUUUGUUUUAUAUUUUGCCACACCCACUUCCGCCCCUGCAAAACGACAAAAAUCGAAUAAAACGUGUAAUUUUAGUACAAACAAUAAUAUCUAUAGUCUUAAAGUUUGGUUGCGAUGAGAUUAAAAAUAUCGAUAAUAUUUUUAUAGCCGCUACGCAUAAGGGUAGAAGGGAAUUAUAACUUUGUGCCGGCAGGAAAUGCAUGUAACAGGUAGAAGGAUGCAUCUCUGACCCUAUAAAGUAUAUAUUCUUGAUCAGCAUCAACAGCCGAUACGAUCUAGCCAUGUCCGUAUGAAACACGGGAUCCCAGAGAAAUAGAGCAAUAAUUUUAACGCACAUUAAGUCUGUUUCAAAUUUUUGCCACGCCCACUUCCGCCCCAACAACAAUCAACAAAAAUCGAAUAAUAAGCGUAAUUUUAAAGCUAGAAUUAUGAUAUAUACAAUAAUAAUUAUGGUAAUUAUAAUUCCUAAAAAUUUGGUUGCGAUUAAAAAAAAAUUGUCGAUGUUAUUAAAAAAAUACUUUUGUAUGGGCAAAAACGCCUACUUACUAGGGGACUUGGUUGCUUUGGCCGAUAAUCUGGUAUAUUGCGCCGUCUAUGGUAUAUUUUGAAUGUGGUACUAUAUCGAUAUACCAAAUAUACCGUUUGGCAUAUUUUUAGUAUUUAUGUUGUAUUUUCGGUAUAUUUUGAAAAUAAAACCGCAAUAUUUUGCUUUUAUUCAAAAUGGGUUGCCGGUAUCUCACAGUCGAGCACAAUCGGCUGUAGCUUUCUUACUUGUUUAAAGAUGCUUUCGAUGUCGGUCUUCCACGAGUAAGAAAUUAUCGGCCUUUUAGCUCAAUAGUCUCAUGAUCGCUGUGCGACAAAACGUGACGAGGUGUGUCCCUUGGACCGAUAUAUUCGUUGAUUGCCAACAUGCUAAUGGAUGUAUUUUAUUUCACUUUCUUUGAGUAAUCUAUUCUAAUUCUUUCAAAGUCUGACGCAUCUGGGGUACCCGCCACUAAUGUCAAUAUAAUACCUAGUAGGCGUAAUUUGUCAUACAAAAGUUGUUCUUUAAUAACUUCUACAAUUUAUCCGAUCACAACAAAAUUCUCUGGAAUCUUACAUACUAGAGUUAUUAUUGUCUGUACCAAAAUUCUAUAUUUGUUACAUACAUUUCCUGCCGACACACGUGGAAAAAACAGAGAUUUUUUUGAGUUUUUAAAUGAGUCAAAUGUAGAAUUUGAACUGAACUGAAACGAACCAAGAAAUACAUAGCUUUUUGGUGCUGUGCAAACAGGGCAUUAGCCUUUCGAACGCGUCAUAUUCUGUCUCACUAAAGCUAAACGAGGUUUACAAGUUGUUAUUUCUGACAAAGUUGUUAUUUCUUUUUUUCGAACGCUGAAGGAGAGACUAAAUAGAAAAAUUAUACUGCUAGAACCAUGUAUGCUAUUAACUGUAAAUUGGGAGCUAACUUGUACUACUCUUUUUAGAUCCUUUACGGGCUUAACUACGUUUUGACUACUGCUGUUGUCUUUCGAUAAAAAGGCAAGCGGAACCAGCCCCGAAAAAUAAGGCGACUCAUCUUCAACGGCUACAGCUGCCGAAAUAAGCUCUUGACAAGAUUGAAAACUUUGUUCCUCUGAUGAUUAUGCUACCUAUUGCCUUCUGAAGCUGUACUCACCUCCAUGGCUUUAGCAUAGAAGUUCGCGAAAAAACUUCUCUCAAAGCUUGCCUCGGCUUCUAUGGCUAAGGCCAACGCACUUG